AUGCGUACAUCUUUACAGUUGAACAAAACCAAAAUGUAGGUUCCAAAAACUAUAAAAUAGGCCUAAUUCAAUAUUUUAAGAGAAUGAAUAUAAGCUGAUGAACACAGAGACAUGAUAAUGAUUAUGAGAACAAAUAUUUAUAUGUAAUUAAAAUAGGCCUAAUAACAAUAACACAAUAGCAGGCGGUAACCUUAACAACAGCAUGAUGACGAUGAUGAUAAUUUUGAUCAUUAACCAUUAUUAUAAUAAAUCGUUAGGCAUGAAAACAGCGAGCUCUUGUCAAGGACAUUGGUUAUCGGAGGCGUGCUCCCCCAUAUAUGCAGACCAUGCUAGUCUGUAAGAUGGUAAGAUCAUGGUGGUAAGAUCCAAUUGAGUUAACGUCCUUCAAACGCGAUGGAAAUCCUCCUUCCGGCAAUUACUUCCCCUCCUUGUACAAGUGUUUCCCAAUAGGUUUUAACCAUAGGUCUACGGUAUUCUUGGCUCUAACAAGUUCUUUAUUCGUAAGUCUAUUGCAAGUAGGCCUACUUGAAGGUUUAGAGAGAUAAAAACCAUUUUUAAGCACGUUCCGAUGAUGGAGUCAUUUUCUUUGAGUUUGAAUCAUCUUCUUAUCAUUUUUGUCCUCAUUACAUUUCCAAUUGGUCAUGAUGCUGGGAAGUGCUGUUAUUACUUGGCAAAUUAUGACGUUAACGAUAUUAAAGUCGUUAACAGAGUCGAAAAAACUGAUGAAAGGAAUACCUCAAAUAGAUGGAAUUUGUUAACAAACAUCAGUUGGGCGGCACCGGGUAAGUCGUUGGUAGCAAUGAAUGUGACGUCACUUAACUUCCUCAAACAUUUUCUGCUUAGUUUUACUAGAAUACAGUGAAUAAUAUUCAUUUGACGGCCCUAUAUAAUCGCAUUCUUUAUUGCAUGCUACAGGAGGCAUUUGUAAAGAUUUGUUAAAGUUGGGCAAAGUACUUCAUUAAGAUUAGAUACACUUUCUUAUUAAAACUACCAUUAUACAAUUUAGUUUACAAAGUUUUGACACAAACCGGCUCCAAAAGUGUAACUGCUGUACUCGCACG